UUAACUUAUUAUAUAGUACUCAGACGACACUAAAACAUAGAAUUGGGGUCCUUUGGCAAGCACGACCCAGCUAAUUAAAGCCGGAGGCCUACCAAAGCAACAAUGGUAUAUAAAUCAGGGUGGGAGGUCUACCCGUGAGGGCAUGAUCUCUGUAAUGAUCCUUCCGCUGGUUCACCAACGGAAA
rnacentral:misc_RNA from 1 species